UGUAUUUUAUUCUUGAAAAAUGCUGAG
rnacentral:piRNA from 1 species